rnacentral:rRNA from 1 species
UACGGGGGGGGCAAGCGUUGUUCGGAAUUACUGGGCGUAAAGGGCUCGUAGGUGGCCAACUAAGUCGGACGUGAAAUCCCUCAGCUUAACUGGGGAACUGCGUCCGAUACUGGAUGGCUUGAGUUUGGGAGAGGGAUGCGGAAUUCCAGGUGUAGCGGUGAAAUGCGUAGAUAUCUGGAGGAACACCGGUGGCGAAGGCGGCAUCCUGGACCAACACUGACACUGAGGAGCGAAAACCAGGGGAGCAAACGGG